CACGUAGGGGGCAAGCGUUGUCCGGAUUUAUUGGGCGUAAAGAGCGUGUAGGCGGCCAGGUAGGUCUGCUGUGAAAACUCGAGGCUCAACCUCGAGAUGUCGGCGGAAACCAUCUGGCUAGAGUCCGGAAGAGGAAAGUGGAAUUCCCGGUGUAGCGGUGAAAUGCGCAGAUAUCGGGAAGAACACCCGUGGCGAAGGCGGCUUUCUGGGACGGUACUGACGCUGAGACGCGAAAGCGUGGGGAGCGAACAGG
rnacentral:rRNA from 1 species